rnacentral:rRNA from 1 species
UACGUAGGGUGCGAGCGUUGUCCGGAAUUAUUGGGCGUAAAGAGCUUGUAGGCGGUUUGUCGCGUCUGCCGUGAAAAUCCGGGGCUCAACCCCGGACUUGCGGUGGGUACGGGCAGACUAGAGUGUGGUAGGGGAGACUGGAAUUCCUGGUGUAGCGGUGAAAUGCGCAGAUAUCAGGAAGAACACCGGUGGCGAAGGCGGCCCGCUGGGCAGUGGCUGACGCUGAGGCGCGACAGCGUGGGGAGCAAACAGG